ACAUACACAGCUGUGUUCCCUACCACCUGCUGAUACACCUGAGCAUCUCUUUCUCAGAUUCUCUCUCAUUAUAUCCUCCUCCUCUUCGUUCAUCAUAUUAUGCCUCAUUAUAUUAUACCCUUUUCUUCAUUCUUGUUCCUUUAUAUCUCUCAGCUGCUGUUCUGUUCAUCUGCUUUGUCUUCCUCCAACCGUUUCCUUUUCUUCUGUUGCUCUUCUAUUCAUCACACUUUUCCCCGCAUCUUCCUCCAACCCUGAGCUCUAAAAUAUUUUUUGUAUUCAUGAAGCAGAAUAUUGAACUGUACUAUAUCUCAGGAAGCAAAUUAUUCUGUGAAACUGCAUUUCCUAAACAGAGCAAUAGGACAUCUGGCUGGGGAUGGUUGCCAAUACACACAUCAAGCAUAGAAAAUAUCCUGUUGUCCUGGAGGCCUUAACAACCCAGAACAUAUUAAUCCAUCACAGGACCUGACUAGCUUCUAACAGAACUUGAGCUCUCUAGGGGACCACUUCAGUGUGCUGCUAACCGUUGGACUUCACCUGAUGGGAGUAUUCUUUUAGUUGGCAUAUAUAUAUAUAUAUAUAUAUAUAUAUAUAUAUAUAUAUAUAUAUAUAUAUAUAUAUAUA